AGAUACUGCAGCACUGACUUAGUAACAAGAGGGACUACACUGGAAUCAGGAUUAAAAAUCAACUCAGCUCUUUCAGUUCUCCAGCAAAUGAAAGCUCACACCACACAUUGCAUCCCAGCUUGCCAAGUCGUGGUCAAACUCUCCUCCAACUCUCAUACUGAAACAGUGCUGCCAUGCCAGUAUAUUCUGUCUUGAAGAAGAAAUUAAGUAUACCAAAAAAAGAAGAGGAAAUAUAUUUCAGGAAACUUGAACAGAUGGAGGCAACAUGCAGCCACAGCCUAAACUGAAACAGAGGAAAGAGACAAAGAAGGACAAAUAGAGACAG